GUCAACACAAAGGACCAGGAGGUUUCACCCGCCACCACCACUGCAGGGACGACGGCGGUGAUGACUGAGAAGAAGAAGGAACCAUGGUGGCGCCGGUUUUGUCGUGUUUCCUUCAAGUAGUGUCAAUAGCUCUGUGUCUGUCUGUCUCUGUCUGAGUGUCCGUGUGUCCGUCCGAGUGUCACGGAAAAGUGUCCAAGUGUCUGUAUCUCUCUGUGUGUGUCUCUGUGUCUCUCUCUCUCUCUCUCUCUCUCUCUCUCUCUCUCUCUCUCUCUCUCUCUCUCUCUCUCUCCCUCUCUCCCUCUCUCUCUCUCUCUCUGUCUCUCUCUGUCUCUCCCCCUCUCUCCCCGGCCGGCCAGCAGCAGAUGGGUCCCCCCACAUGAGUCUGGUUCUGCUCAAGGUUUUUUCUUCCCUGUUAAAAGGGUUCUUUCCUUGCCACUGUCGCCUUCAGGCUUGCUCUGUGGGGGUUCAGGCCAUAGGGGUUCUCUCAAGCUUUUUGACACAAUCUGAACUGCAAUUGGCGCUAUGUAAAUAAAAUUGCAUUAAACUGAACUGAAUGUACUUUUGAUCGUUUCUUGAAUAAGUGUAUAAAAAUUUGACAUCAA